rnacentral:rRNA from 1 species
GACUCCAGGCAACGGAUAUCUCGGCUCUCGCAUCGAUGAAGAACGUAGCGAAAUGCGAUACCUGGUGUGAAUUGCAGAAUCCCGCGAACCAUCGAGUCUUUGAACGCAAGUUGCGCCCGAGGCCACUCGGCCG